ensembl:antisense Gm26947 predicted gene, 26947
GCCGUUGUCACUUCCUCUGCCCUAGGCAACCUGCUGGUCCAGCUCCUCUUUCACUUCCCCACCCCACUGUGGAGCACCAGCCGCCAUCCGUUUGUAUUUAUAUAGAUAAAUCGGCCAGGCUAAUUAAAGUGCUCUUGCUGCAGCAAGAGAAUUAAUAAAAGGACUUGGAAUGGAGCCGACCUAAAGCUGGGGCGCUGGGAGUCAGAGCUGAACCCUCAGCAGCAAAGGAGGCCAGAAGGGCCAGAAGGCACGUGAGCCACCCCACUCCCUCUUAGGGGGAGGGGCCAGCAGACACGAGCCGGCACAGAGCCCAGAACCAGAACUGAAAGCUGAGCAGCGUAUCCUAGGCCACUGGGGCCCCAGGCACUGGGUGUCACAGCUGCAAAGACAACACUCCACCCUGCGCUCCUAGAGUCCUCCGCUCAGCAAGGCCCCAGGCUGGUCUUUGAUGGGACCGGAUAUUUGGAUAUUCGACAAAAGCCCUAGUACCCAGCUCAAGUGCAGCGGCAGGACCAGUCCUGACCUGGGAGUCUGCAAGCACCCCUGACUGUUCUGACCCUGAGCUGCCCCUCCCACCCUGCAUCUGAGACCCAGGUUUGAGCCAGGAACUCCUGGACUCCAGAGCUCAGGUGGGACGGAGGUCACCCAGUGCCUGCCCUGGCGAUUGGCCCUCACGGCCUUCAAUGAUUCCUGUUCAUCUCCCUCCACCGGAUCAAUCACAGACCCACAAACCCUUCUUCAAUGCAAGGCCUGUGAAUGUGCAGCUCAGGUCCAAGCCUGGCUCCAUCCCCACACUUGUCUCUGCUCAGCAUCCCUUCCAGGCUUCCAUUUCCAAGCAUGGUCCUGCCUGGGCUGCCGGGGCCAGCCCGCCCCUCUGGAUGGUGCAGCCUGGAGUCAUACACAAGCACCUGCAGAUUCCCCUACCCCCCACCUCCUCUCUGAAGGAGCCCAGAUAAAACAGAGCUAAUCCACCCCGGGAGAAGGGCUCUGUGCCUGCGGGGACCCAGGCACAAAUUGGGAUGUCCUGCCGCAUUACUUCUGCUGAGCUGGACAUCAACAUCUCACCUCCGCACCCAGGGCCAGUGUUGUGUUUCCUUCACAAUUCCCAGGGACCAUCUCCCUCCAACCCUCCAUGAACCCAGGACAGGAGUAAAGCCCAGUAUCUGCAUUCUACCUUUAGUGCAUGGAAACAGGCCAAGAAGAUAAGGUGAUUCUGACAGAAUUAGCCAUCCCCGUGACUAACGCUCACCGAGUUUUAGGGAGCCUCCUCACAAAGGAGCUGGCACCCCAUUCUACAGAUGAAGCAACUGAGGCCUUUAGAGAUGUGCCAUCCACCCAUAGUCACAAGGCAUCAGCGACAGAGCAGCCUGGACCCUGUGACCACAGUCUCCACACAGCCAGAGUCACAAGAAAUUGCCGUGACUUCUGGCCUUCACCUAUGUUCACCCUCUCCAGUUCAAAAACGGGGACACUGCCAAGGAAAAGGUGCUGUGCCUUUUACGCACCUUUAUGACAACACCCAUGCUUCUGAUACCCUCUCUCCAGGCUCAAGAGCCUCUGAGGCUGCUUAGAAGUAAAGGAAAAUGUCAAGAAUAUUAAAUUCAUAAUUGAGUAAGACCUGGGGAAAAUCGUUAAGUCAGUUUCGUAUUUCCCAAGUGGUUCAUCGACAUUUUGAAGACAUGUCAAAUUCUUUGGCCUGAACUUUCUCUGUGUGCAGAUAAAGAGAGAGAUGUCUAGCUGGGCGUGGUGGUGUAUGUCUCCAAUCCCAGCGCUUGGGGAAGCUGAGGCAGGAGCAUUGCGUGGAGUUCAAGGUCAGCCUGGGGGCUACAGAGUGAGGGUAUGGGAUAACUGUACCAAGGCCGACUGGGAGGAGCACUGUAGUGCCAGCGAUAGAGUCUGACACCCUGUCACACCAUGAUGUUGGGAGGGUCAUCCCAGGCUAAGAAUCCAAGACACAGGUGAGCUUUCACAGAUGUGUGCGGUUGCAGGGGUCAAGGAAUCUGCUCACUUCACUGUGCCUCGUGCCAAUUCCCUUGCAGAUACAGAGGCCUAGGUACCUUUGUAGCAUAAAAUUGUAUUCUUGAGGCUGACCUCAAACUCGGGAUCCUCUUGCUGCAGCUUCCUGGAUGCUGGGACUCCGGGUAUGUGCAGACCCCACAGUAAGGAUGGCUUUGAGCAGAGUCUGUGGAAGGCACUGAAUACAAUGAGUGAGACCCUGAGGCUAAGCCCUUGCACAGCCUCCAAAGGCUCCCAAGGAGUUUAUUGUCACCAUGGAGAUUCCAGUGCAAGUCUACAACUUCAGGAGGCAAAAGAAGUGUGAGCCUGCACUGCGUGAUGUCUGGACUUAGCAGCCAGCUUCUAAGAAAGGACAGUGGGGAGGAACUCCAUAAUCCCACGGUGGAGGAACCUAGAGGGUGUCAUCACACAGGUCCUCAAGGGCAAGUCUUCUCUAUGGUGGAUCCAUGAUGGAAUAGCAAUGCCUGAGGGGCGGGGGGAAUCUCUGUCUGGAAAUAUUAUAUAACUGGCAUCACAGCAUGUUGCUUUUCAGACUGUGUUCUUUUUGUUUUUUGUUUUUAAAAGAUUUAUUUAUUAUAUGUAAGUAUACUGUUUCUGUCUUCAGACACACCAGAAGAGGCAUCAGAUCUCAUUACAGAUGGUUGUGAGCCACCAUGUGGUUGCUGGGAUUUGAACUCAGGACCUUCAGAAGAGCAGUCAGUGCUCUUAACUGCUGAGCCAUCUCUCCAGCCCCCAGACUGUAUUCUUUCUCUCAUCCAUAUUCAUUUAAGUUUCCGCUUUGAUUUAGUUUUUAAAAGCUAAAUGGUUUACUAUUCUUUUGUCUUUGUGCACCAAAGCUUAUCAGUUCCCCUACUAAAGGUCAUAUUGAUUGCUUAAAAGUUUGGGUAGUUAUAAAUAAAGCUGCUUUGUAUCUCU